CCCUUAGACGUUCUGGGCCGCACGCGCGCUACACUGAACAGUUCAACAAGUCUUAACCUUGGCCGAUAGGUCUGGGUAAUCUUUGAACGCUGUUCGUGAUUGGGAUAGACCUUUGCAAUUAUGGGUCUUCAACGAGGAAUUCCUAGUAAACGCAAGUCAUCAGCUUGCAUUGAUUACGUCCCUGCCCUUUGUACACACCGCCCGUCGCACCUACCGAUUGAAUGGUCCGGUGAAAUCUCGGGACGGCGGCUUGGUCGCUUGCGUCCGACUGCUGAAACUUGAUUAAACCAUAUCAUUCAGAGGAAGGUGAAGUCGUAACA
rnacentral:rRNA from 1 species